rnacentral:sRNA from 1 species
AUUGACAGCACUGAAAAAUCUGGCACAGUUGUCAAGAGUGUCUUGUAACAGAAUGAAAAGGCACUCUGGGUGGAAGUACAGUCGUUACCCAAAGCCCUACGGCCUUUAUUACUACUAUCACCUGUCUAGACACUGCAGACGUGGAAGUGGAAGCAUGUGCGGAAGACUCUUUUUUUUCGUAGUUGGUGUCAUCACUGGAGUGGUAGUCAACAAGCGCUAUCGCAUUACUGAGGCACCAACGCCAUGCUGCUGUAAGAGGACUUCAUUCGAAUCAGGCAAAGAUACAAGACUAGAUGACUUCCAAGAGAUGAUAAAAGAAGCCAUUGAAAAUAUGAAGGCUCUGGAAAGGCGGCUACAGGAGGAAUCCACCAAAUAAAGACAGGCCUGAAAAUCCACCUACACCUCCCACAUCUUCUUAGUACUCCCACAUCCUGAUAGUACUCCCACAUUUUUAUAGUACUCCCAAAUUUUUAUAGUAUUCCCACGUCCUGAAAGUACUCUCAUAUCUUCUUAGUAUUCCCACAUCCUGAAAGUACUCUCACAUCUUCUUAGUAUUCCCACAUCCUGAAAGUACUUUCACAUCUUCUUAGUACUCCAACAUCCUGAAAGUACUUUUACAUCUUCUUAGUAUUCCCACAUCCUGAAAGUACUCUCACAUCUUCUUAGUACUCCAACAUCCUGAUAGUUCUCCCACAUCUUCUAAGAAGUAUUCCCACAUCCUGAAAGUACUCUCACAUCUUCUUAGUACUCCAACAUCCUGAAAAUUCUCCCACAUCUUCUUAGUACUCCCACAUCUUCUUAGUAUUCCCACAUCCUGAUAGUACUUCCAACUCUUCUUAGUAUUCCCACAUCCUGAAAGUACUCUCACAUCUUCUUAGUACCCCAACAUCCUGAUAGUACUCCUGCAUCAUCAUAGUUCCCCCACAUCCUGAUAGUACUCUCACAUUUUCAUACUAUUCCCACAAACUAAAAUACAGAGAGUAAACAAUACCAUACUUCGUUCUUCUCCUGAUCCAACAUCAUAUUGUGAAUAAAAGAGACAAUCUGACACUAAUUAUCUUCACUCAUUCAGAAAGAGAGUCUGUCGUAAGUUGUACAAGGAUGAACAUGAAGUUUAUCAUGGUUGAUUCUGCAAGUAAAAUUGUUGAAACGUAUUCUACAAAAUGGCGAUGUUCUACACCUGACAACUUUCGUUACACAUUUAUCCAUAACUGUUUGUAUUUCUUUUACUUCUUGUAUCGAGGGAGGUAACAACGACUUUUAGAAAUGGUCAGGAGUUGUAUUCUUUUUGACUUUACUUGACAGGUGGUGCACUGUUCCAUUGAAGGUAUAAACAUUUGUAUUUA